rnacentral:rRNA from 1 species
CUCGAGUGCCCUCACCCAAUCCAUCUCACCCUUUUGUGCAUCACCGCGCGGGCCCCCCCUUGCAGGAGGGCUUGCGUUUUCACAUAAAACUCGAUACAGUUUAGAAUGUCCUCUUCUUUUGCGGUCACACGCAAUCAAUACGACUUUCAACAACGGAUCUCUUGGCUCUCGCAUCGAUGAAGAACGCAGCGAAAUGCGAUACGUAAUGUGAAUUGCAGAAUUCAGUGAAUCAUCGAAUCUUUGAACGCACCUUGCGCCCCAUGGCAUUCCGAGGGGCACACCCGUUUGAGUGUCGUGAAAUCAUCAAAAACCUUUUCUUUUGUGGAAAGGAUUUUUUUGGACUUGGAGGUUCUAUGCUUGCUUUUGAAAGCGAGCUCCUCUCAAAUGAAUUACUGGGGGUCCGCUUUGCUGAUCCUUGACGUGAUAAGAUGUUUCUACGUUUUGGAUU